CUUUUCCUUAAAUCUCAAAUUUCCCUCUCUCUUUCUCCUUGUUGUUUUCCUAUCAUCCAAAUCACUUUUUGUUUGUACUAACUUUUUCUUUCCCCUUCUUACUCUCUCAAGCUCUUCCUUUCUCUACAACUCCCUCUUCUCUUUCCGACUAUCCCAUCUCGCUUGAAGGACAAUGAAUACAACUCUUUUUUUGUGUUUUCUCUUCUCUCUCCAGUUCUUUGUUUUCUUUUCGUUUGAAGACUAUUUAUUCUAAGGUCAUAAAGGAUGAAAAGGACCAAGAAUGAGGUUUUGUUUCUUUCUUUUUUUCGAUUUAAGUUUCUUUCAUUUCCUCACUCUCACUGCAUUUGUAUUCUGGGUGAAAAAAUUCAUUUAGGGCUUAAGUUGACCUUGCAAAGAAAGGGAACGAUAUCUAGGAAUUGAACAAAAAUUUUUGAUUUGAUACAGUGUGUGAUUACAUAUGGAAGAAAGAAAACAUACUAAGAGCUAGUUCUUGAGGACAAGAUAGAGAAUUUGUGGGCCUUGGGUAUAUGGAAAGUACCCAACUAGAACUUUUUGACUAGGGAGACGGUGUCAUGCUGCUGUGAGAGAAGUUAAGGAAGAAGAUAGAGCUCUAUAUGGAGUUUAUUCAAAAGAUGUUGAUCAAAGAACGCUACGCCUAAGUGCCAUUAAAUCCAUUCCUAUAGAUGCUAGGUGAUCUCUUCCUCAAGAUGUUGAGAUUUCUACAAGCAUGUAUGGAUUUCUUUACAUGAUUCAAAGAAGGUUUGGCUUGUGAAUUAUUUAUUUAUUGUAUGUAAAUUAUAUUGUUCUUAUCGUGACUUUUGAGUCCAUUGUCAUUAUUCUAGUUUGCCAGAUAGCACAUUAAUAUUUGUAAAUUAUAUUGUCUGUAUCUUUUCUUCUGGGGUUUCUUGUGAUGCUUCUAGUUUCAAACUAGAUUUCAAGAUUUUGUUUUAUGUUUUGUCUUCAUAUACUAGUUGGUAGGUUAUGUUUUAUUAAAUACCAUUAUUUGAUGAGUAUUUCAACUUUUGAUUCUUUCCUUAACAUCUCUUAUGAAUAGUCAAGUCUUGAAUUUAGUAAAAGUUGUAUAUUUUCAUCAAGACAAAGAUGAAAUUAGUGUUGUGAACUUUUUCGAAAAUGGACACCUAACAACAGCAUGUAUUUCUCUCUUUGAAAACUCAAAAUUUAAUGUGCCAUGCAUCAUGGUAAGAAUUAAGCUUUUUUCCUAUGUUGACAAGCAGCAUGUGUCCUAUGCAUAGAUGCAUGUAUCUAAAUAUGUGUACAUAUGAUAUUAAAGUAUAUCUGAGAUAUUUGGUUGUACUAAUCCUAAUAUUGCUAUAUGAUGUUUAUAUAUGUGUAUCUAUAAAUUGUUUAUUUUGAUCAAAGCCACUAGUAUCACGUUAGUUGUCAAUUAUUUGUUCAACCCAAACAUUAAUUUAUUACUACAUUAAAAAAAAACAUAUAAGAUAUUAGUGAAAUUUUCACUUUUCUAAGUCAAACUUUUAGUGUAUUCUCAUUUAAUCAAGUUAUUAUAUUUUGUCAUUAUUAUUACUUUCAUUAUUAUUUUAUUUAUCUCAUUUCCUUUAAAAAUAUACCUACACAUAUUUAUAUGCAUGCAUCUAGGCACAGAUCACAUGUUACUUGUCAACUCAGAGAAUAAACUUAAUUCUUACCAUCAUUGUUUCUCUAACUAUGCACCAUUAUAAAUGCCUCCUUUGAAAUACUUGUGUGUACACUAAAGACAAGGCAUGCCUUCACCUUUGUGUGCCAUACAUACCAUAACCAUUGUUAAGUGCUUCUAUUUAAGUACUUGUAAAUAAUACUAUAACCAUGGCAAAGGAGAACACCAAUACUUGCAAUACUUUAAACUAGAAACAUAUUGUGGAUGGUGGAAGAUAUUCUCUAAGUUGUCAUUACAUUAUUUCUUUCUCUCCAUUUUUGUUCUUUUAAAAUUAGUGGGGCUCAGGAAAAUACAAUAAAAUUGAUUUUUGAAAUAUGAUUAAGAAAAGAUUUAUAUGUAUAUACAUAUAUGCUAUUUGUUGCUACAAUGACAGAGUGUAUCCUUCUUAUAUAUAUAUAUAAUUUAAGAAUAUAAGGUCUAGUCAGUACUAUUGAUUAGGCAUGGCACUGCACUGCUUUUUCUUCUUUUGUAAGGGAAAAGAACCACACCUAAUUCUAGAUUAAUUAUUAUUUAAUAUGUUUGUACUAAUUUUAGUAUUACUCUAUAAUAUGUCUAUGUAUAAAUGGUUCAUUUAAUCAAAACCACUAUUAUCAUGUUAGUUGUCUUUAUAUAUGUGAUUUUGCUAUAAUUUAGUACUAUUUCUUAUUCUAUCUGUGUUUUAUAUAAGUCACACACUCUGUUUCUUAUGCUCCUUUGGAUUUAUGUUUUGCUGUUUUUUUAUUCAUAUUUGAUAAUGUUAUUUUGUUGGGCACACUUGGAAUAGUUUCAUUAAGAAGAAGCUUUUUUUUUUUGCCUACUUUCUUAUACGAUUGGUAGAAUUUGUUGCUUUAGCUAGUAUGAAUGAGAGUGUAGUUCUAGUUUUUCCAGUGCAAAAGAAUCUCAUUUUAAUUAUUUUUUCUUUAUUUACUCAUUUAUUUUUAACUUAAGUUUACCUCAACUUUUUUAAUCAUAAAAUUAAAUGAUCAUUGUGCUUGUUUCUCAAGUAAAAAUAUAAUGUAAAGUAUAAUACUAUUGUACAUUGUUUCAAUGAGGAUUGUGUUGUGUUUCCUAUUUGAACUAAGAACUUUACCAUGCCAUGUUUUUGUUAUGUGUUAUUGCUUUCAAGCACCCUUGUUUUUAGAUUUAUUCUACAAUUAGUCUUUGCAUAAAUAUGUCUAUGUCUAUAUAUAUAUAUAUAUAAUUUUCUCUUACUUUAAUCAUGACAUAGAUGUUUAUAGGCAUUGACUGGAUUUUUCAAAUAUUAACAAGGACUCAUUGUAUAGUUUUUAUAUUGUUUUGCAGAAACUAAUGAAAACAAGAACAAAUGAUAUGUAGCGAGUUGAAUUUGCUAAUUUCUUAUGUAAUAGGUGACGAAUCUAUUCUUUGAUAAUUGUUAUGCACAAAUAAAUUAUUUUUUGAAAUUAUCCAAAGGGAAAUCUAGGAAUUUUAUUAGUACGAGGGUGUAUGCAGAUAAUAGAUUUUGUAGUUUGGUAUGCAUGAACUCUAUUGAGUGAGCUCAACUCAUGGAGAGUACAUGUCUCUCAAAUACAUGUUACUUUUGGCUUAUUUCAAUAAUAUACCUUUAUUUCCUUCUCUGAUGCUUGUUGGUUUUG